CGGAAAGUGUGUAGUUACGGCGCGGGUGUACGGGUGGUGCGAGUGGUAAGCUGUAUUUCUGUGCGGAAGGCGCGCGUUGUGUGCUUGUUAAGUAUGAUGGGAAAGCCCGUGGGUCAACCUGGGAUUGGCAUGUGAUACUGGCAAGCUAGUGGAUGGGAUAGGGUAGUAGAAUUCCAGGUGUAGCGGUGAAAUGCGUAGAUAUCUGGAGGAACAUCAGUGGCGAAGGCGGCUACCUGGACCAAUACUGACGCUGAGGUGCGAAAGCGUGGGGAGCAAACAGGAUUAGAUACCCAGUAGUC
rnacentral:rRNA from 1 species